rnacentral:rRNA from 1 species
AGAGUUUGAUCAUGGCUCAAGGACGAACGCUGGCGGCGUGCUUAACACAUGCAAGUCGAACGGAAAGGCCCAGCUUGCUGGGUACUCGAGUGGCGAACGGGUGAGUAACACGUGGGUGAUCUGCCCCAAACUUCGGGAUAAGCCUGGGAAACUGGGUCUAAUACCGGAUAUGACCUGCUCCUGCAUGGGGGUUGGUGGAAAGCUUUUGCGGUUUGGGAUGGGCCCGCGGCCUAUCAGCUUGUUGGUGGGGUAAUGGCCUACCAAGGCGACGACGGGUAGCCGACCUGAGAGGGUGAUCGGCCACACUGGGACUGAGACACGGCCCAGACUCCUACGGGAGGCAGCAGUGGGGAAUAUUGCACAAUGGGCGCAAGCCUGAUGCAGCGACGCCGCGUGAGGGAUGACGGCCUUCGGGUUGUAAACCUCUUUCGCCAGGGACGAAGCGCAAGUGACGGUACCUGGAGAAGAAGCACCGGCCAACUACGUG